UCUUAUAUUUUUGUUAAUUCUGCGAUUUUAUUAUUUUGCUUCGCUGGUUAUGAUCAUCAGGUUGUGGCGAAUCCUUGUAGUUUUUGGCCGAUCCCACUGCAAAUUCAGUAUCAACUUUAAAUGGGAAUGGGAAUGGGAUAGGAAAUGCUCAAUCUGGGAUUCCGUUGCCAUUUGCUAACCAAAAUACGGGUUUUGCGCCUAAUCAGCUUUUCCCUUUUUCUACAAGGAUCACAAAAGAACCCUAAAUUGAAUUUAAUUGCGCAUUAUCAAAUGAACAAUAAUAACUCAUCUCAAGCAUUGGGUUCAUUUUUGGCGCAGAAUGCAAUGAACCCGCCUCAGUUUUUGCUUAACAGCCAAUUAAAUUUACUGAAUGACGUUCACCAGCUUCCGCAAAUGCAAAUGUCGGGUUGUGGUCCAGAUGUCCCUCGAAAACCAACCUUGUUGUGAGUGGCCAAGUAGGUCUUGUGAAUGCCAAUGGAGUUAUGCAACAGUCCGUCAACGGGAACAACGUGAGUCAGCAUAUGCCCCCUAAUGUUACUAAGCAGCUGCAUUCAAACUCAAACUCGCCUCUAGGGAAGACUUAUGCUUGCCCUCAACCGGGAUGGAAUCCGAAUAACUUUUCUCCAGGUUCUUCAAAGCCACAGGUAUUUACUAUUUGUUAAAUUUAGUGUUUCUUUGUCUUAUUAUUGGUCUAUAUUUAUGCAAGCAUCAAUAAAGUGACUGAUGCGUGUAGAUAUAGCUGCAUGCUGAUGAAAAGGAAUUUAUAAUAUAUCAGUAAUGGAGUAAAAAAAUACAAAUAGCGAACAUGACCAUACUAUCUCGGGAAGACUGACAUGGAUUUGGUGACAACAUGUUACAACAAGAAGCACGCAAUGUACAACUAUAGGUUAUCUGUUCAUCUUGCGAUCGUGAGAUUGAGGACAUUUCAUUUAGUGAUAAAUAGGGAAGUAAUUCCCUUGCCUUCGAUUUGGAAUCCACAUUACACUAUGUCCUUUGUAAAAAACUAACAAAAGCAGCUAAAUUCUUACUUUAGGUAAACUAUUUGAAGUGAGAAGGCAGAUUUUGAAGAGGCAUUUUGCUUGCUUACUGAACCAAGUGAACCUUACGACUAUUCAACUUGAACAUUUCUGAAAGAAAUAAAAAGAAAAAAAUGAUGAGCGCCUUGAUUGUUGAACAAAGAUGAACGUAGAUGUUUUCUUCUCUUUGAUAUUUGUACCUUAACUGCAAGGAGUUGCAAAUUUGGAAGGCACAAUUAAAAAUCAUAGCUGGACUUUACUGAAAAAUAUACGAGGAAUCUCUGUUAAACCAGAUUAUACAUAUUUUGGAUGAAUAAGUUGAUUGGAAAAUAAACGAGGAAUCUCUGUUAAACCAUAUUAUUCACAUUUUGGAUGAAUAAGCACCUUGCAAGAAGACUGUCUGUUUCCUAGUAACCCAUUUUAUAUCCAGUAGAAAACUUGCUUGUCUCUGUGUUCAUGGUGUCCUAUUGACUUCUGAGCUUCUAUGUGUGACAUUCUUCCAGAAUUCACUGACAUGCACUUUUGCUUGAGAACGCAAUCAAUUUUACUGAAUCUUGCUUGACAUUUCAACAUACCAAAGUUACUCGUUAGAAAUAUGACCUCAAUUAGUUUUUAUCUUUGCAAGCUUGAAAUACCGUAUUGAACAGCAUGUAUCCGUGUUAUUAUUUUUCUCUUUCUUCUAUAAAUUACAAUUAAAAAUUUCAACCUCGUGAGUAUAACCAUUUGAAGCCAAAAUCUUUGUGCUAGUAAAAUUACAUAUAUAGCAUCUCGGGAUACUUUUAUGUUAUUUGUUCAGUUCAGUGUGGGAAACUUAGAAUUUUCAUGUCAAAUUUACAAGGUUAUCAUUUCUUUGAAGUCUCUAAUCUCUGAAGUCUCUCUUUCUCAAUGAUGAUGAAUGUGGUUUGGUCUCAGUAAUUUGAGUAGUUCUUUAUGAACAAUUAUUAGUGUCCUUAUUUUGGGCCUCAACAUUUGAGUUAAAUUUGAAAUUCACUGACGGAGGCCCACUAUAAGUUUAUCCACCAAUAAAUGUAUAUGACACGUUAAUGGUGCUAGAUCAUUCAUAUAAAUGACUUUCUGGCUUUUAGCUACUCACAUCUCCUAGUAAUGAUAUGCCUGUUUUUCAUUCAUCACCAGUAUUCAUGAUAUUUCAAGUGUUAUGUAACACCCUUAUUUGUGUAAUAACAAGGCAUGAUAACGUAAUGUUUGCAUUCUCUGUUUCCAACGAAGAAAUUCAAGUCAGAGAAAAGAGGGCAUGAUAACGUAAUGUUUGCUUUCUCUGUUUCCAAUGAAGAAAUUCAAGUCAGAGAAAAGAGUGCUCUCUCUCUCUGAACUACACGGAACGAGAAAUUCAACAGUGGUGCGAAGAACGCAGGAAAAAUCACCCAUUGCAAACCAAGAUUGAGAAUAAGUUGAAAGAUCAGACCGACCUGGGGGCCACUGAUGUGGUUUGCAAGAUAUGACGUCAGGUAUCUGGACUUGCCUUUAAUGAUCAGAAACUAAUGUUAAGGCCACAGCAUGCUAUCAAAACAACCAUUCUUGCAUUGAGUUUUCUGGCAAUAUGUAUAUUGAAAAAUAGAUGAUGGAAGAAAUCAGUUUGUUUAAAUUCUUUUGUGACAUUAAUCUAAAGGUUGAAUACCAACUGUCAAUUUUUCUGAUUUCUAAUGAGUAUAUAUUUCCAUGGAUUAGCUUUUGUAUUUGUCUGAUGUUUAAAUAUUGUGCAUGAAGAUGAAUGAACAUGCCUAUGAUGGUGGGUGAGGGUGUGAAGUGACAAAGCUUGAUAGAUAAAUGGCUAGCCUUCAUAUCUGCUUAAUGAAUGUGUUCCAGAAAACGUUGAGAAUAUUAAAACCUGACUGUAAGAACUGUGAAUUAUUUGAGAACUAUUUUCUAAAUGUGUUCUGUCAUUUUGAGCUUAUCUUAUAGGGCCAACCGAGUAGACUGUUAAUGUAGAAGUGAAAUCAUACAUGUCCUACGCAGUUUCACGAUGGUUGAUGUGGACUGGUUCCUUGCAACUAAAAUGUGGAUUCUAUUACUGCACACAAGUCCCCUUGGUAUCGACGACAUGUAUUUCCUCAUACUGGUCUCAUGGAUGUUUGCCACUUACUUGACAUGAACUGGCAUUAUAUAUGGUGCAUACAGGUUCAUAUGCUUGAUACUACCAUCCAUUUUCACUACAUAUGUCCUAUAUUGUUGUCAUUUUUCACUAUUGUCUAAGAAACACCAAUCUCUCAACAGGAUAUCUGAAAACCUUUGUUACUUCUGAGAUAUUCUUGUUUUCCAAUGUAGAACUUGACUAUGUAUGCCAACUUUCUUGUAGCAACUCAAGGAGAUCUUGGCAAAACAAACUGAAUUGGGUCUUGAAGUUGCAAAAAUACCAUCUUGCUAUUUAUCAGAUUCUGAGCAACAAGCAGAUGGAAGAGAAAAUAAAAUGAUAUUCAAUAAGAGGGAAAGGCUUCAACCCGGUUUUUGAACCGGGAAGAUUCCUCCAAAAAGACCGGUUUUCUAAGAGACAAAGGCCUGCAAAUCAUUAUUCAAAAAAUUUGCAUGGUCAAAACAAUCAAUUAACUAAGAGGCAGAGAGUGGUAGAUGACGGCUCCAUUAACCAUCAUUUUGAGUUCUGAUAUUAGAAGAGAUAAGAGACAUAUGUUUCAGGUUAUUAAACUCAUGGUGAUGAAUUCGUUCUUCCAAGAAUGGCCAGAGAAGCCUCUGAAAUUCCCUGUAGUCAUCUUCAAAGAACCAGGAGAAGAAAGCAAAAUUGCUGAAGAGUAAUAUUUUCAGAUUGUGAAAAUUUGUGAUGUAGAUGCCGAUUAUAGCCGCAAGAAUUAAACUGGUGUCAUAGGUAAAUAUUGCAGAGAGUGUUGUUAGAUAUUAAGUGAUAAACCUGAAUUAUGUUUGUAGGAGAAUUCCUUACUCUUGAAUU